UGCCAUUUUGUCUUAUUGACAGUGACCUUUGCCUUACAGAGCUCUUCCAUUUCAGAAGUUCCCUUUUAUUAAUUGUUGAUUUCAGUGUCUAUGCUAAUGGUGUUAUAUUCAGAAAGUUGUCUCUUGUGCCAGUGUGUUCGAGGCUAAUUGUCAUCAGAGAGCCUUCAUCCAGUAACUGAUAGAAGCAGACACAGAGAUCCACAGCCAAGCACUGGGCUGAGCUCUGGGAGUCCAUUUGAAGAGAGGAGGAGGAAUUGUACAAGCAAGAUGGGACAAGAUCAUGAUGGGGAAACCCACAGAAACAGCUGACCUGAGUUCAUAGGAGUUCACAGAGUCUUGACCAACAGCUAGUGAGCCUACAUGGGACUGAUGUAGGCCCUCUGCAUAUGGAUGACAGUUGUGUAGCUUGGUCUGGUUGAAGGACUCCUAGCCGUGGGCUCAGAACCUGACGCUGGUGCAUGAGCUGGCUUUUUAGAACUUAUUCCUCAUUCUGGUAUACCUUGCCCAACUUUGAUGCAGGGGAGGAGUUUGGUUCUGCCUCAACUUGAUAUGCCAUGUUUUGUUGACUCUUAUGAGAAGCCUGCCCUUUUCUGAGGAUUGGAUUGUGUGGGACAACUGUAGUUGGUAUGUAAAAUAAAUUAAAACAUUUAAUAAAAAUAAUAAUGAUGCCUAGAAAAAAAUGACAUUGUAUAUGAUAGUUAUGUCAGUGUACAGAAGAUUUUGUAGAAAUGACAACCAGCUUUUCAUUCUUGAUGAGAUUUGCCUCCUGCAAAUAACAUAGGUAAUCUUUCAUGAUUCAUUCACAUAAAAGAAACUCUUUGGACUGUAUUUUUUAUUUCUAUCUUUCAGGAGAAGAAGCAGGAAAGAAAUUAACUUCAUUUUUCCAUGAUUUAUGACCACUCUUUGUAAAAUAUUAGUGUAUGUUUUUUUAACUAUUCAACACAAACUUGCAAGUGUACAUAACAAAAAGAUCACCAAAAUAUUUUGAGGUUCAGAAGUAUUAACCUUACACUGUUGUGUAAAAAAACAUCUAGAAUGUCUUCGUUUCGAAAAUCUGAAAUUUGUACCCAUUUAGGUCACUCUAGUGAAAUGUCUAGUCAAGUUUCUUGUCCACAUUUUAGACAAUGUGUUUACUAAGUACUUGGAGUUAUAAUUCCUUAUAUUCUGGAUAUUAAACCUUUAUCGUACAGAUGGUUUCCAAAUACUUUGUCUUGCUGUGCAGUGACCUCUUACUCAUGUUUGUCCUUUGAAGCACAGAAGCUGCUCCUGUAAUCCAAUUUAUCUAUUUUAUCUUUUGUUCCCUGUGCAUUUGGUAUUGUACCUAAGAAAUCAUUUCUAAAGUACUUUUAUAUGUUUAAAUCAAAAGAAAAAUGAGGUACAGGGGUAUGUAAGAAUUUCAUAACAAUUGUGAUAGGUAAGAAAUACCAGAUGCCCAUAUUUAAAAGACAAAAAGAGCUUUUGUCACAAGUCUAUUCAGUGUCCUAUAAUAAAAUGAAAAGGAAAAACAUAAGCUUAACUUUAUCAUUACCUUGAUGGGCAAGGUUUUGACACAAGAAAUGAAAAUACUAAAACAAGGAUGUUUUUCCCUAUAGUUUUUGGUGUUCCUGUCCAAGAACUUUGCCUGAAGAAAUAAUGCAAGAUAUUGGAACAUGGAAGAAAAUAGCUUUUGAAACAUUAUUUCGCUGAUUCUGAAGUGGGUUUUUGAGGAACAUAGAAUAUGGGGACUGAAUACUGAUUUUACUGAGGUAGCAGACAGAGCAGAAAAGGGGUUCCAAAACUGAGAGGCUUUCAUUUCAUGCUCCUCAAUACUAAACCCUGAACUUCAGUGAGUCAGCAUAAAAACUGUGCUGGGCAAAGGUCAGUAGAGCCCUUUCAUCAAUAGGGCAAUGAAGAUAGGUUGAGCUCAUGUAAAAUUAUCUUAUGAAAAGUGUGUAGGUAUGCAGCUCAACUGAAUUUAAGAGAUAGAGCAUUCACAGACUCUCACCCCAAUUACUUCUAAGGAGCAAACUGACACCAUUGUAGAACCAUCUUAAAACUGAAAUGCCCAGCAUAUACAUAGGAAAUGCAUCUUCACACAUAGAAAUCUCUUCCUAGAAAGAAAUAUUAACCUUACCAUAAAGCUGUAAUAUCAUUAACCAUCUAUGAAUGCACAGUCAUUUAAAUACUACUUGGUAGUUAUCACUAUGCUUUACUUUCUGAUUUUUUUAGUGGAAAAGUUACUUACAUAUGAGUUAUUUAAGUGAUUAAGAAGAAACCAGCAUAAUAUAUAACACAUUAAUUCUUCAAAUAAUUUCCUGCUGUGUGAUAGCUACCUAGCCCAAUCGUCUUCAGAGAGGCUUCCUCCGGCAGUUGAUGGGACAGAUACAGAGACCUUCAGCCAAACACAAACAUUAUGGAACCCUGGAGAAGAGUGGAAGGAAGGAUUUUAGGAGCCAGAGGGGUUGAAGACACCAGGAGAACACUGCCUACAGAAUCAACUAAGCAGAGCUCAUAGGUGCUCACAGAGACUGAAGUGACAAUCAUGAGCCAGCAUGGGUCUGUGCUAGGCCCUCUGCAUACACGCUACAGUUGCUUAGCUUGGGUUUUUUCUGGGACUCCUAACAGUGGGAAUGGGGGUAUCUCUGACUCUUUUUCUGCUCGUGGGAACCUUUUCCUCCUACUAGUUUGCUACGUUCAGCUUUGAUAUGUGGGUUUAUGCCUAGUCUCAUUGCAUCUUGUUAUACCCUGUUCAGUUUAUAUCACCGGGAUGCCUGAUCCUUUCUGAAGGGAAAUGGAGGAGCAGUGGAGAGUGGGGGGGAGUAGGACUGGAAGGAGGGGAUAGAAGGGGGCUGUGGUUGGGAUGUUUUGUAUGAAAGAAGAAUAAAGACAGACAGACAGAGAGAGAGAGAGAGACAGAGAGAGAGAGAGAGAGAGAGAGAGAGAGAGAGAGAGAGAGAGAGAUUGUAAGAGCCAGAGGAGAUGGGAUGGCUAAAUGAAACAGUGCUUUCUGGACACUACAGAGCAGUUGCAAAAACUCAUAGGGGUUAUGAAGCAUGCACCAGACCUGUGUGGGACAAAAUUCCAGCAUGCAGGUAAGAGACAAGCAUGAGGCUCCACCCAUAAUUGAGGAACUGUUGGGAAUACCUUCCACAGAGGCAGAGUGAGUGUUCUUUAAGGGUGGGACCCCUGAUGGGUCAACCAUGUUCCAGUGGAUGGCCGCACACCAAAGAGUACGUUACAUAAGCAGCCCUAACUGAACUUGUUGAGUUUGGGUGUGUGGCAGAGGGAUGAGAACACAAAGUUGGAUGGAUAUUGAAUGGUAGUGAGUGACUGUGGGAGGAGUUGGAGGAGACGUGAAUAUGACCAAUAUACAAUGUAUAAAAUUCUCAAAUGAUAUCUUUUAAACAUCACAACAGAUCAAGAAGAGUUACUAGUGUAUUGUUUGAAAUCUUAAAUCCAAUAAAAGCAUUAAAAAAAAUAAGAUAACUAACAAGAUUGGCACAGAGAGAAAUGGAAUGUAGGACUAUUGACAGCCAACUCACCUCUCUUAUAAUGAAAGACAUUUAACAUUGUCCCUGGUUGGUAAAUCAGAAAAUUUAGGUACUUCAUAAUAUUUACCUGUCAUUGAGUUAAACUGGAAAACAAUUUAAAUACACUUAAAAGAAAUCUCUCAGGGAGGAGACUGAAUUAGGGAAGAGGAUUGCAUGCAUGUGUGCUGUUUCACUAUUUGAUAACUGUUACCUUGCUAAUACAUUAAUUAAAAGUGAUAAAAUCCUU